rnacentral:rRNA from 1 species
UACGUAGGGGGCAAGCGUUAUCCGGAUUUACUGGGUGUAAAGGGAGCGUAGACGGCCAGACAAGCCUGAAGUGAAAAUCCAGCGCUUAACGUUGGAAGUGCUUUGGAAACUGCCGGGCUGGAGUGCAGGAGGGGCAGGCGGAAUUCCUAGUGUAGCGGUGAAAUGCGUAGAUAUUAGGAGGAACACCAGUGGCGAAGGCGGCCUGCUGGACUGCAACUGACGUUGAGGCUCGAAGGCGUGGGGAGCAAACAGG